UAACCUUAUUCUCCCGCGACACUGAUAGU
rnacentral:sRNA from 1 species